UUCUCAAGGCAAUAUGCUUCGGAGGUAAAUAUUAUUGCAGAAACUAAGUGGCAGGCAUAAUUUAGCAUAUUUACUGAGCGGUAACCAAUUUAACAAUCACUCUUGACGUGGACUUUAUGUUGAAGUUCCUGUAGUUUUCUGUUCAUCUAUUUUACCUUGAUUUAAGAUACCUGUGUCACAGAAUCCCUGAGUUAGGGUUCUG
rnacentral:misc_RNA from 1 species